GACGAACGCUGGCGGCGUGCCUAAUACAUGCAAGUAGAACGCUGAAGGAGGAGCUUGCUUCUCUGGAUGAGUUGCGAACGGGUGAGUAACGCGUGGUAACCUGCCUGGUAGCGGGGGAUAACUAUUGGAAACGAUAGCUAAUACCGCAUAACAGUAGAUAUUGCAUGAUAUCUGCUUGAAAGGAGCAAUUGCAUCACUACCAGAUGGACCUGCGUUGUAUUAGCUAGUUGGUGAGGUAACGGCUCACCAAGGCGACAAUACAUAGCCGACCUGAGAGGGUGAUCGGCCACACUGGGACUGAGACACGGCCCAGACUCCUACGGGAGGCAGCAGUAGGGAAUCUUCGGCAAUGGACGGAAGUCUGACCGAGCAACGCCGCGUGAGUGAAGAAGGUUUUCGGAUCGUAAAGCUCUGUUGUAAGAGAAGAACGAGUGUGAGAGUGGAAAGUUCACACUGUGACGGUAUCUUACCAGAAAGGGACGGCUAACUACGUGC
rnacentral:rRNA from 1 species